rnacentral:rRNA from 1 species
GUAAAAAGUCGUAAACAAGGUUUCCGUAGGUGAACCUGCGGAAGGAUCAUUGUCGAUGCCUCACAAUCAGACCGACCGGCGAAUUCGUUUUUCCAUCUACCAGCAGGCAGGCAGGGGACGGGCUUCUUCCGUCCUCCCCCUGCUCUGCCUGUUGCGUUGGGUCGGGGGGGAGGGAGGGGGGACGCAAAGCAUUGUUGUUCUGCGCCCAACCUCUCCUCCUCCUUCCCCAACAAACACAAACCCCGGCGCUUCGUGCGCCAAGGAACUCCAAUCUGUCAAGUUGUGCGACUCCCAACGGCCCGGAGACGGUGCCCCGCGGGCGUUGUCACGACACACACGAUUUAUACAAAAUGACUCUCGGCAACGGAUAUCUCGGCUCUUGCAUCGAUGAAGAACGUAGCGAAAUGCGAUACUUGGUGUGAAUUGCAGAAUCCCGUGAACCAUCGAGUCUUUGAACGCAAGUUGCGCCCGAAGCCAUUUAGGCAGAGGGCACGCCUGCCUGGGUGUCACACAUCGUUACCCCAACGCAAACAGACGUUCCCACACGACGGCCGUUGCGUAGUAGGGUGCACGCUGACCUCCCGCGAGCGGCGUCUCGCGGUUGGUUGAAAAUCGAGUUCGCGGCCGAGCACGCCGUGAUAAAAUGGUGGAUGAGCAACGCUCGAGACCAAUCACGCGCUGCGACUCGGUCCGCGAAGGACUCCCUGAUCGAUGACGACCCUACAGUGCGCCUCCUCUCCGGAGACGCUCUCUACGAGACCUCAGGUCAGGCGGGGCUACCCGCUGAGUUUAAGCAUAUCAAUAAGCCGGAGGAA